GGUGUCAUGGUCUAGUGGUUAGGACAUAUCGUUGUGGAGCACAACCCCGAUAUAACCCGCGUUCGAUUCGCGGUGACGCCA